rnacentral:misc_RNA from 1 species
AUAGAAUUCAUGGAUGAUAUAGUAAAUUUUCCUAAUGUUUUUGCUCUACAUUUGGCCCAUUUUGAAUUGGAUCAUGAGUAGAGGCAGAGCACAUCAACAUUUGGGACCAACAAUUGAUAAUUAAUUUAACAAUUACAAGGAAAGAUCAUGAUAUAUAAAUGAAUAAGAACUGAAAAGGAGCUCUCUCCUAUUGCAAUCUCAAAGUGAACUUUCUCGUCAUAAAAUUUUUCUCCUAAAAAGUUCUCAAUUUAGAUUUCAAGGAGCAUGAGGAGUAUUGCUACAACAAUAACAAGGCCAUAAAUCAUACGAUUAAGGCUACCUCAAAAUUACAUUUUUUGGGAUAUAAUUUACUCUGUCUUGUCUUCUUCAACAUCACCGUUGGAUGCGACGUUGUUUGUGUGCACUGGUCUAGCUGCUGAUGCACUUCGAACAUCCUUCGAAGGCAUUGAAGAUGGUUUUAUGAGUGUCAAAGAACUGUCAUCUCUUUCAAACUCUUCGCCCACAUCAUCAGAGUAUGCAUACCUAUCAAGGAAGAAGGAAUUAUCAGGAAAAGCGCAACUUAAAUAAGAGAAACUUGGUAUCUGGACCCAAGUAGACUAUCUACAUGCCAUAGGUGAACACCAUUUUAUGAUCAAUUGGCAUGCAUUUAUAAAAGUUUGUGAAGUUAUCACGUCAAAUCUAUAAUUCUAUUCCUAAAUUUUGAGGAUCAGAAUAUGAACACCAUUAACAGUUCUCCUAACUAAGUUAUAAUAAGCAUUUACAGAGUGAACCUAACACAAUACCAUAUCAAAGUGUUCAUCAUCCUAACAGCAAAUUUUCUAAUCCAAACAACAAAAACAAUGAAAAUUAAAAAGGAGAGACCAUUACUACAAUGACUGGAGUCUCAGUCACUUCUUAGGCUGUUGGUAGCUGGACUAUUAAAUAUUAAAUUCUUUGAUAAGCAUUAAGAUUUGUGAUUAGAACCAUGAGUUAAAAGUAUGGAAAAAGAAGACACUCUAGUGCAGAUGCUAGGUCUUACCGCAUUGAGUUUUGAGAGGGAGCCCAAAGAGCACAAAUGAUACAUAGAAGAGAAAAGGAGAGGACUUGCCAGAAAGCUGGGAUGACCCAAGCAUUCUCCCAGUGCUCAUUGUAAACAUCAUUCGACUUGAAAUACAACUGCAAGCACAAAAUUAUUAAUUUAGCUGUACAUAAAUAAAGGUGGAAGCAGAUUAGAAAGCAUUACAAGAAUGACAAAAAUCAAUCCCCUUUUUGUUCUCAGUUGAUAAAUUUUUGGAGAAACGGAAAUUGUAUAUACAAUUACAAUAAUGUCUGCACAAUUCAAAACAACAUUACCCUAUACAUCAUUUAAAUUUAAAAUACUUUUGUCCCAGCCUUUUUCUUUUGCAACCUGUAUUAAAGUUUUAUCUGACCUCAAAAUACAAUAUAAAAUAACACUUUGCUGAAUGUCAUUCCACUCACUCGCUAAUUCAAUAUUUCAAAGCAAUUGGUAAUAUUACAUCCUGAUUCCCGUAUCUAGUCACUCUCGCUUAAAUAUAGCUUAGCAAGACAUUUGGCAAGUAGGAAGAAGUUUGCAGCAAUUUUGUAAAAUCUUUGACCAGUACUUGGAACCUAACUAAAGACAGCUGCAACAAAAUAAUCAAUUUAACUAAUAUGACAAGUGUUAGCAUUUUUAUUGGGCUGGAAUGAGGACUUUAAGCUUGACUUGCGGGCUUCUUCAUAUUGGGCCAGCUUCUUGUUACAAUGGCCUCAGCCAUUUUGCCUUUUUGGACCCUUUCAUUAUAUCCCCAUUUUUGUUCCCUUUCCCACCUGAUGUGGGACUGCCAUUUUUCCAACAAUGAGCAAUAAUCUUACCUCAUAGCAAAUCCAACCCACUGAGACAAUAACUGAUACUGCCAAAGCAUUUGUGAAUUUCCGGUAUAUAUCCAGCUUGACCAUCAUCCGCCUAGCCUGAAGCUUAUUUAAAGUGGCAGAAAGGGACUUGAAUAUCCAAAUAAUGAAAAAAGCAUCCAAGAGAGCCACAGGAAGAACCAAAAAAAGUCUUGCCUUCCCUGAAAGAUCACUGACAGCACCCGCAUUCUCUACCAAUUCAAGCACUUCAGAGGCCAGAAAAAAGGUCGCUCCAAGCAUGAUCACCUUUGAGGUAAGGCCACCUAGGGUAGAUCUCACAACACCAUAACCCAUUGAUACCAUGAGAAUUAUGAGACGUGCAACCGUGCGUUUAACUGUACCAAAAGUGACUGCCCAGAUAGUGAUGCCAGUUGGCCUAACUCCAGUUUCAUUGAAUUCAGCAUAAUCAAAAUACCAAAGAGCCAUCUCAAACAUGCCUAGUGUUAUCACCAGUGUUAUACAAUUCAGCAGUGGAAAAACUUCUCUCCAAUAUCUUGCAUACUGAUAGAACCAAAAUACUCCAAGUAUAACAAAAGCAAGGGACAUGAACCCAUAGAAAUUCAUUAGUGGAGCCAUUCUACCAGGUAAAUAGCCAGCAGGAUUUUUCCAUAUAGUUUUUCCUUCUACAACUACACCUUUAAGAUUGGGAUCACAGUGCAUGAAAUACAAAUUAUACAUCCCAGUUUUAGUGACCUGUAUUGAUCUAGAAGGUAAUGUUGCAACUAGCUCAUAUGCAUUGAAUGAAACACCAAAGACAUGGGGCCAGCUAGGAUCCUUUGUUGAUGGGCGGUGAAUGACUUCUCCUUCUGUGCACGCACCCAAUUUAGCGAGAUCUGCCCUGCAGCAGAUAGCUCUUUGACCUCCAUAGGCUGAACCCCCAAUCGUCUCUCUAUCUUCUACCUCAAAAACAAUGGCUUGGACUAACCCCGAGGUAAAGUUAGAAAAUUCCUCAGUUCUCCGGAACACAAUCUUUUCAAAACGUAUAUAAGAGUCACCAUUAGCAGGGAUGGCACUGCUCUCAGUCUCAUUGAAAUUUCCAGGUUUAGAAGAGUAAAUCCCUUCACUGCCUCCAUGAACAACAAAGGCAUUACCUUUAGCCACAAAUCUUUCUCCUCUGUACUCAUGAACUGAGCCUUCAACAAUAAAGCUCAGAAAGAGCAACACAUGACAUGUAACAGAUAAAAUUGACAUUACUUCAGUAGUAGAGACUAGAGAGAGAGAG